rnacentral:lncRNA from 1 species
AAAAAUGAUAGCAAAGCAAUAUAACAUUCAUUGUUCAUGUGGCUAUACAAGCUGUUGAUUAUACUUGCUCUAACUGCAACAUUCCAACUAAUCUAACCAUGGAAGUACUUGUAUGUGUCCUUGGUGCAUACUGCAAGCCAGACAUUGAUUUCUUAAUCCCAUAUACCAACCAUUGCUUUCCUAACCAUUUGUCAAUCCAGGACUACUUUUUUUCCUUCAAUUGACCAUGGAAGACUGAAACUUUUCACAUCAAAAUGUUAAAACUAACAAAGAUAAUUAAGAGAAACCUUACAAAACCAUGCUUUGUCGCCGUUGAGAGAUUUGAUCAAAAUUGUCAUCAAAAUGUACUUCUUGCACAUUUCCUGUGCACUUUUUGAUCCCCAACUUUCUGUCCCCUUUCACAUGUAAAGCUGGUGCCCCUUUUACCAUA